rnacentral:lncRNA from 1 species
UCUCAUUCCAGAUGAGAUACGUAGGCAUAGGAUGCGAUAUCCUAGCGAGCCCUUUCCCCUCUUAUCCCAUUUGUGUUGUUUCCAGUGUGUGUGUGUGUGAUGUUUGUGAGCAGUUUUAGCAACCUUAUUCUUUCCUUCUGAGCGUGGAUCCCGUCGAGUACGACGGACGUGAGGGGUGCUAAUACCUUCCCCUUGCGUAACCGACUCCCGAUCCCAUAUCUCCGGUCGUAAGACCAUUUCCUUUCCAGGUUUACUUCGAGCGUUUCCUUUCCCUCUUU